rnacentral:rRNA from 1 species
GGAGCUAACGCGUUAAAUCGACCGCUGGGGAGUACGGCCGCAAGGUUAAAACUCAAAUGAAUUGACGGGGGCCCGCACAGCGGUGGAGCAUGUGGUUUAAUUCGAUGCAACGCGAAGAACCUUACCUACUCUUGACAUCCAGAGAAUUUAGCAGAGAUGCUUUAGUGCCUUCGGGAACUCUGAGACAGGUGCUGCAUGGCAGUCGUCAGCUCGUGUUGUGAAAUGUUGGGUUAAGUCCCGCAACGAGCGCAACCCUUAUCCUUUGUUGCCAGCACAUUAUGGUGGGAACUCAAAGGAGACUGCCGGUGAUAAACCGGAGGAAGGUGGGGAUGACGUCAAGUCAUCAUGGCCCUUACGAGUAGGGCUACACACGUGCUACAAUGGCGUAUACAAAGAGAAGCGACCUCGCGAGAGCAAGCGGAACUCAUAAAGUACGUCGUAGUCCGGAUUGGAGUCUGCAACUCGACUCCAUGAAGUCGGAAUCGCUAGUAAUCGUAGAUCAGAAUGCUACGGUGAAUACGUUCCCGGGCCUUGUACACACCGCCCGUCACACCAUGGGAGUGGGUUGCAAAAGAAGUAGGUAGCUUAACCUUCGGGAGGGCGCUUACCACUUUGUGAUUCAUGACUGGGGUGAAGUCGUAACAAGGUAACCA